CCUACGGGUGGCAGCAGUGGGGAAUAUUGCACAAUGGGGGAAACCCUGAUGCAGCGACGCCGCGUGAGCGAUGAAGUAUUUCGGUAUGUAAAGCUCUAUCAGCAGGGAAGAAGAUGACGGUACCUGAAUAAGAAGCCCCGGCUAACUACGUGCCAGCCGCCGCGGUAAUACGUAGGGGGCAAGCGUUAUCCGGAUUUACUGGGUGUAAAGGGAGCGUAGACGGUGAUGCAAGGCAGAAGUGAAAGCCCGGGGCGCAACCCCGGGACUGCAGUUGGAACUGGGUGGCGGGAGUGGAGGAGAGGCAGGCGGAAUUCCUGGUGUAGCGGUGAAAUGCGUAGAUAUUAGGAGGAACACCAGUGGCGAAGGCGGCCUGCUGGACGAUGACUGACGUUGAGGCUCGAAAGCGUGGGGAGCAAACAGGAUUAGAUACCCCAGUAGUC
rnacentral:rRNA from 1 species